UUGAGUAUGCCUCACCUAGCUAGAGGGCCAUUUGCCUCUUGCCUUUUAAAACACUGGACUGGUUGAGCUAUGAAAAUAGGUCGUCAUCUUUAGCUUUCAUAAUUAAUAGACAUUUCCAUAUGAACACUAGUACACUUGCAUUUGAUUUAUAAUGUGCCCACAACAUUUUCUAUAGGGUUAAAGCAACUCAACUGUCAACAUAUUCAUUCAUGUGUCUUUUAAAUUCAUUUCUUAUAGGGUCUUUCCAUUUCUUAAUAUCUCUUUUGAACAGGAUGGGAAGAAGAUGUGCUUCAGCUCCAUUCAACAACAACUAUUGGUUUCUUCCCGAAAUCUGGAGUUUUUCACCAAUGGUUAUCGCUACCUCAUUUAGAUUCUUCCUGCUGUCGUUAUUGCUCUGAUGUAUUUAUCAGGCAAAAUCGACAAAUUAGGUAAAGUUUCUUGUACUGUAUCAGUGACCCUUAAAACCUAUACCUAUUGGCCAAUAAAGACUAUUUCAAUUCCAACAAGUGGGACCAUGGCUAGGUGAUCCAGAAUACUUUAUCUGUUGUAUGUUGUCAUACACUAACUAUUCCCCAAAUCACUGAUCUAUAAGACAAUCUUACGCUUUCAA